rnacentral:lncRNA from 1 species
UCAGCAUUUUCAGGUACACAUUUCAAGUCCCAUAUUGAUGUAAUUGAAACAGUUUGAAAGCAUGAAAUGAAAAAGGUUGACACAUUUCAAGUCCCAUAUUGAUGUAAUUGAAACAGUUUGAAAGCAUGAAAUGAAAAAGGUUGAAGAAGUUCAAGUAUUUGUUGUAAUAUUCAUAGUACAUUAACAGGCCCGUGAAAAUUGAUUAGUUUAUAAUUCAACAGUUCGAAAGUAUGUACUAAUAUUCGACUAAGUUUAUCCUGUUGUGUUUU